CGGACGGGUGAGUAAUGUCUGGGAAACUGCCCGAUGGAGGGGGAUAACUACUGGAAACGGUAGCUAAUACCGCAUAACGUCGCAAGACCAAAGAGGGGACCUUCGGGCCUCUUGCCAUCGGAUGUGCCCAGAUGGGAUUAGCUAGUAGGUGGGGUAAUGGCUCACCUAGGCGACGAUCCCUAGCUGGUCUGAGAGGAUGACCAACCACACUGGAACUGAGACACGGUCCAG
rnacentral:rRNA from 1 species